rnacentral:rRNA from 1 species
AGCUAAUACUUGCUUUAGCACUCUUGAUUAAGUUCUUGAGUGUGUACUUGUUAAGCCUUUUAAGAAAAAAGUUAUUAACUUAAGGAAUUAUAACAAAGAAGUAACACGUAAUGGAUCCGUCCAUUUUUAGUGUGUAUCAAUCGAGUUUCUGACCUAUCAGCUUUUGAUGUUAGGGUAUUGGCCUAACAUGGCUAUGACGGGUAACGGGGAAUUAGAGUUCGAUUCCGGAGAGGGAGCCUGAGAAAUAGCUACCACAUCUAAGGAAGGCAGCAGGCGCGUAAAUUACCCAAUUCUAAAAAAGAGAGGUAGUGACAAGAAAUAACAAUACAAGGCCAAUCUGGCUUUGUAAUUGGAAUGAUGGGAAUUUAAAACCUUCCCAAAACUCCAUUGGAGGGCAAGUCUGGUGCCAGCAGCCGCGGUAAUUCCAGCUCCAAUAGCGUAUAUUAAAAUUGUUGCAGUUAAAACGCUCGUAGUUGAAUUUCAAAGAAUCGAUAUUUUAAGUAACGCUUUUAGCUUAAUCCACAUAACUGAUACUACGUAUCGACUUUGUGCGCAUUUUGCUAUUAUGUGUUCUUUUAAUUAAAAUGAUUCUUUUUAAGGUCUUUCUUUUGCUCCGGCAUUUGAAGAUCUUGUUACUUUGAGUAAAUUAGAGUGUUCAAAGCAAACAGAUAUAGCAUUGCGCGUUUGAAUACUACAGCAUGGAAUAACAAAAUUGAACAAGUCAGAAUUUUGUUCUUUUUUCUUAUUUUGGCUUAGUUACGAUUAAUAGGAGUAGCUUGGGGGCAUUUGUAUUCAGAUGUCAGAGGUGAAAUUCUUAGAUUUUCUGGAGACAAACAACUGCGAAAGCAUUUGCCUAAAAUACUUCCAUUAAUCAAGAACGAAAGUUAAGGGAGUGAAGACGAUCAGAUACCGUCGUAAUCUUAACCAUAAACUAUACCGACUAGGUUUUGGAUGAAAGUAAAACAAAUAAGGAUAGUCUCUUCGGGGAUAGUCCUUAGAUUUCUUCCUUCAGUACCCUAUGAGAAAUCAAAGUCUUUGGGUUCUGGGGCGAGUAUUCGCGCAAGCGAGAAAGUUAAAAGAAUUGACGGAAGGGCACCACCAGGCGUGGAGCUUGCGGCUUAAUUUGACUCAACACGGGAAAACUCACUAGUUUAAGACAAGAGUAGGAUUGACAGAUUAAUAGCUCUUUCUUGAUUUCUUGGAUGGUGAUGCAUGGCCGUUUUUAGUUCGUGAAUAUGAUUUGUCUGGUUAAUUCCGAUAACGAACGAGAUCUUAACCUGCUAAUUAGCGGUAAGUACGACAUAUUUUUAUAUCGAAUUGGAUAUGUAUGAUUUGCUAAAUUGCGGUCGCAAAUAAUGAAGAUCUUGAUUGCUUUUCACGUCAGUGUUUUCCAGAAUCGUUGACGUGACUAGUAUAUUCUCGCUCCUUCUGUUCCCUGGACUUCACUUCCCUGGCUUAUCAUACCGUUUCCUUUUUGUGUAGAAAUGUAUUUAUUUUAUGUAAAGCUUCUUAGAGGAACGAUGUGUGUCUAACACAAG